UGCUGCUACAGCAACUUCACCCACAGCUACCAUGACUUUGAUCCCCGUCUUCAUCUGGACACUGAUCUUCUGGACUCAAGAAUGCAGAGGUCAGGCCACAGUAACUCAGACUCCUGCAGUGAAAUCUGCUCUUCCAGGAGAAACAGUCACCAUCAACUGUAGAAUCAGUCAGGCAGUGUACAAGAGCUCAUCUGGUGACUACUUAUACUGGUAUCAGCAGAAACCUGGAGAAGCUCCUAAACUCUUGAUUAAACUUGCGACUCAGCUACAGUCAGGUUUUCCAGCUCGUUUCAGUGGCAGUGGAUCUGGAUCUGAUUUCACUCUGACCAUCAGUGGAGUCCAGACUGAAGAUGCAGGAGAUUACUACUGUCAGAGUGCACAUUCCAUCACUGGCUACUGGUUCACACAGUGUUAUAGAGUCGUACAAAAACCUCCCUCAGUCAGAUUGUAGAGAGACUGCACUGCUGCAGCUGGGAGCGACUGCAGGUGCUGAGUUGUAGGAUGUGAU